rnacentral:lncRNA from 1 species
CCCCCCCCCCGGACCUGCGCGCUCGCCGGCGCAUGGGCAGCGGCAGCAGCCGGAGCUUUUGGGACGCAGAGGCGUCGGGGACCCCACAGCCCCGCGGCCCCUGAGCGCGGCCCGGGCGCGGCGCCAGCCGGCGGCGCCAGCGGAUGCGGCUCCGGCGACGGCGACGCCCUCCGACGGCCGUGCGGAGGCGCUGCGCCUGCUGGACCUGCUGCUGGCCGAGUCCGCGGCCUGGGGGGUCCCGGGGCCCGCGGGUCCCCGCCCGAGGUGUCCCCAGGGCAGCAGGCUGAGGACAACCCAGAGGGGCAGCUGCGCUCUCCAAGUAAGUAUAGGGAUUCGAACUCGGCCAGCCAGAGGCCUCAGGCUCCAGGACUCUUCAGAGCAAGAAGCAUCCAGCCCCUCACUCCUCAGUCCUCAGCGCUCUGGGGAAAGAGUCCAGCUGGGGACACCUGGGGCUGGGCGAAGUCCAGGGAGAUUAUUUUACUGUAAAGCAGAUGUAGAGAGCGAGGCCUCCAGCGAGAGGGCAGGGGGGUGCCCAAGACACCCGCCCAGUGCCUGUUUCCACCCUGGGGCUCAGAAACUAGGGCGCACCACUCAGAGACAUUUUCACUUCCUCCUGGAGGUCACUUAGGAAUCAAGGGCUGAGAUGUAGCUCAGUGGGGCCUGCACCUGGCUGGCAAAUCCAAGGACCUGAGUUCAAUUCCCAGUACCAAAAAAAAAAAAAAGAAAUGUUGAGCCCUUAAAAAAAUCUUCCUAAACCAGUCACCCGACUGUAAUCCCAGGACUCAGGAGGUGACCCUCCUGACUCAGCCUCCUGAGUGCACCACCAAGCCUGGCACAAAUCAUGCUGUUGUGGAUCCCCUUUGUCACCCAGGCCCUCUCCUGUCUACUGACCUGCCUGGCACUCUCCUCGAGGCCUCAACUCUGUCUCCAGGUGCCACUGUGCAUAGAGCUCCAUCCCAGAAGCCCAGCCCCCCCCCCAGCCCCCUCCCUGGGCCCAGACAAGGUCCUGACCUGCUGCCCCACCCUCCCGCUCUACCCUGCCCUAGCUAAUUCAUUCUGAAGCACUCUGGGAAGCUGACGCUGAAGGGUCACAGGUUAGAGCUCAACCUGACAAUGUAGUGAUUAGCAAGAUCCUGUUUCAGAAUGAAAAAUAAAAAUAGGGCUGGGGCUGGGUUUGGUGUCCAUGCCUUUAAUCUCAGCACUUGGGAGCCUGAGGCAGGAGGAUCUCUGAGAGCUCAAGGCCAGCCUGACCUUACAUCGAGACCAUGUCUCAAAAAAAAAAGGUCUGGUGACACAGCACAGUAUAAGGGCCCUAGGUUCAAUCCCAGUACCAAAACAACAACAACAACAACAACAACCCUAACAGAACAAAAAACCAUCAGAUACAUACCAGAUAGGUAUGGGAUAAAGUCAACACAGCAAGUCUGCAAUUCUUCUGUCUUUUUUCGUUUUACACUUGUUGAGUGUAUGAUUUCAACUUCUGUGUAUACUUGAGCUCUUUCAUAAUAAAAUACUGAAGAAAAGCCUUCAAAACUGGGUCGCAGUUUCCCCUCCUCUCCUGAAACACCUCCCCACUGCCCCCUCACACUCUGCUGCCUGUCCACUCCCCUGCACCCCUCCCUGGGUGGCACCAGUGACCCAGUUUAGUAUGCACUUGCUCUCAGGCUAGCAGUCUCCCCCGAGCUCUACACCCCAUCCUGGGCAGGGGCCCAGAAGCCGCAGACUGGACCCAGCAGCCAGGGGAGUCCUGGGUACUGGGGCUGUUCCCACAGGGCUGGCCUGGCCCUGAAGUGUUCGAGCAGGGCAGCUGGGCAGCUGGGGACUGGAAACCGGCUGUGGGCAUUCUAGAUACCCAUCUACAUGCACUGUGGCAGGUGCCCAGAAGGAGAGGGCUCUUCCCAUUUUCCCAGGGGAAACAUGGGGCAGAAUUUGCCCAUGGUUGGAGGGCCAGGAAAUUCUAGAAAAAUUCUCUCGAGCUCACUGUGUAACCCAGGCUGGCCUCAAACUCUGACAGCCUCCCGCCUCAGCCUCCUGAGUGCUGGGAUGACAGACAUGUGCCACCACACCUGCUCAGCGUGGGUUUUAGGAUUGAGUCACCACAGACAUGGCAUUUGCCAGUUAGAUGCCAGCAUCAUGGUGACAUCUUACCUGCAUCCCUGUUUCUCGCCUGCAGAGCCCCAGACGACAGCCCCAGGCGGGUGGCGAGGCGGAAAUCCAUCUCCUAUGACCUGGCGGAGGAGGAGCUGAUGGUCAGCAUCGAGCGGGAGUACAGCUGCUGAGGCCGCACGCGGUGGCUGUCCCUGGUCACGUCCUGUCCCCAGCCCGGGCUCGGUGCCGCAGAGCCACCUCCAGACUCGGAUUGGCCUGUGCAGACUCACGCUCCUGCGGCCACUGCUGGAGGGUCUGGGGACAGGCGUGUGGCCCCUCCCAGCCACCCAGGAGCCAGGGACUCUCUCUCUUCUGUGACUGCUGUCCAGGGGCGAGGGCCAUGGCACCUGCACACAGCAGUUUUCACCGAAGCCAGAGUUUCCCGCCAGCACAGCCUCAGGACACAGCCUUCAGCCAGACAUCCCCACCUGGGACCCUUGGCAGUUGCGCGCAGACAGCACAGGCGGGGAUGAGCCCCAUGGCAGCAGGGCCAUGCUGCCCUGGGGCCAUCGAACCCAGACCAGAGCCCACAUCCCAACAACCUGCAGAGGACACACACUCCAGGACGUGGAGACAGAAACCACACUGUGGAGAGAAGCCAAUGCAAAGCGGAGCCCUCCGGCCACUGUCUCCCACCGCAACGCCACGGCUGGAGCAGCACUCAGCGUGGAGUGAUACAAAGCCACCCACAUCUGAGCCGGGGUGACACUGGGCAGCCAGUGUCCACACCGAACUGAAAUGAGGGGCAGGGAGGACGCUCUGCAAAGGACAGUCUUCUGAAGGUCUAGGAACAUUCGACUGCAGAACUGCCCUGGGUCUGGAAACCUGGAAACCUAAAACACACACACACACACACACACACACACACACACACACACACGGAUGAAAAGCAGCUGAUAUGAAAGGGCAGCUUAGCGGGCAUCAAGUAACAUACACUGAAUGAGGGCGAGGGUCAUAGACUACAAAGACCUGAAGACAAAACCUACCUUUAGUUAAUUACCCAAUAGUUCACCUGCCCUCAUUAGAACAAAGACUCAGUGCCAAAACUGAAAGGCAAAGGCAGCAUCUAGAUACAUAGUGCACAUAAAAGAUUCUCCAGCUACCAAAACAGUGCAAUGUUCCCAUCUUCUGCUGCAGUGCUGCCUGGACUCCAAGGGAUGGGCUCGCCUACCCCUGCCUGCCUUCCCAAUGAUGCAAGAAGCCCCACCCACAGGACACUGCCUCUCUGCUCAAGACACCUCCCUUCAAACAGGAGGCGACCAAAAGAGCAGACCACAAGCUCCGUAGUCUCACACCUAGUGAAGGAAUCCUCGUGGGAACCCGACUCCCGGAUGCCGUGGUUCCCAGAGCUGAGCUCUACAGCCCACCGCCUCCACACGAGGAGUGCGGCCUCCUUCGGUGCGUGGGCAAACUGCUCCUCCAUGGCUGAAGGACACGGGCACCCCGACACUCACAGGCCACAGGGCCUGGAGCUCCCUGGGAACGACUCCGCGAAGCAAGCGAAGACUCCGCAAAGCAAGCGGCCACGCCAUGGCACGCCACGGCACGCCAUGCCACGCCGCUCUCCCCUUCUCUUCAGGAGGCCCUCCUUCAACCAGUUCUGAUUCCAAACAAGUCUUAGCUCCAAGAGGCCUGGUAACACACGGGAUUUCUUUCUAAAUUGUGUACCACGCUUACUAAAAGCAGGGUCGUUAUAAAACUGUUAUUAAACACUGAAAAGGCUGAAUAUGAUCUAGAAACUGGUGAUUGGAGCACCAAUAUAAAUAUUUUUAUAAAAAACAGUAUAAAAGUAGUACCCUGUCUUAUUUCUACAAAACAUGAGUAGAAAGGUUGUAAAAAUCCAGAUUUUGUAAACUUUACUGCCAAAAUGGUUGUUUGAAUGCUGGUGAUUUAGCUUAUCAAUUUUUCCAUUCCCUUAAACAAAAAGAAACCUGUGAAACUGCAAAAGAUAGAACAGGGUCUCAAACAGAAAGCAGUGAACAGCCCUCCCCAGCGCGGUCCAGGAGGAGCCCGGCUUCCUUGCCGCCGGCCCGCGGGCUCAGGGCAGGGUCAGGGCGAGGCGGGCCCAGGCGCAGGCAUGAGUGGGGCCGGUCGGGCCGGGCUCUCGGCCGCUGCGCUCUCAUGCAGCUUGCCCACCUCUGCCUGCCAGCCCGGGACCUUCUUGGCACUCAUGUGGCGCCGUGCGUGCUUCGUCAGGUGGUCGCUGCGCAUGAAGCGCCCUCGCACACGGGGCACGCGAACUUCUUCUCCCCUGUGUGCGUGCGGCGGUGACGCGACAGUUCAUUCAGAGCGCGGCGAACUUCUUGUCGCAGCCGUCCCAGCUGCAGUUGAAAGGCUUCUCCCCUAGGGCGCGAGAAAGCGACACAGUAAGGAAACGAAUGCUCAGCACCGAUGGGCUCAGUUCAAAUCAUUUAAAAACUGUUUUACCAAAAUCCCAGAGGAAGGGAGUAAUAUCCUAUUAUUCUGCUAUUGGGUGAUUCUGAAGUCAAGAAAUCAUCCAACAUGCAUUUCUUCCUACCACACCUACAAUGUUAUAUGCCAAGGCUCUAAAUCAAACUAACCUAAUCUUUAGGUGGUGCAUGCCUGGGAUCCCAGCAUUCAGGAGGCUGAGGCAGGAGGACUGCUGCAGGUUCGAGGCCAGCCUGGGUUACAUAGUGAGUUCAGGGCCGGG